ACAGCCAUAUCAUAUUGUAAUACUGGUUGCGAUCACCAAAGUUAAGCAACAUUGAGCCUGAUCAGUACCUAGCUGGGUGACCACUUUGGAAUAUCAGGUGCUGUAAG